rnacentral:rRNA from 1 species
AACGUAGGUGGCGAGCGUUAUCCGGAUUUACUGGGCGUAAAGGGUGUGCAGGCUGCCCCUCAAGUGGUGUAUGAAAGGGCUCGGCUCAACCGGGCUAGGUUAUGCCAGACUGAGGGGCUAGAGAGCGAGAGCGGGACGUGGAAUUCCUGGUGUAGGGGUGAAAUUCGUUGAUAUCAGGAGGAACACCGGCGGCGAAGGCGGCCCCCUGGCCCGCAACUGACGCUCAUGGUCGAAAGCGUGGGGAGCAAACAGG